UCCGACGGGGGCUAGCGUGGUUCGGAAUUACUGGGCGUAAAGCGCACGUAGGCGGAUAUUUAAGUCAGGGGUGAAAUCCCGCAGCUCAACUGCGGAACUGCCUUUGAUACUGGGUAUCUCGAGUAUGGAAGAGGUGAGUGGAAUUCCGAGUGUAGAGGUGAAAUUCGUAGAUAUUCGGAGGAACACCAGUGGCGAAGGCGGCUCAAUGGUCCAUUAAGGAAGCUGAGGUGAGCAAGCGGGGGGAGCACACAGGCGGCGAUAACACCGUAGUCC
rnacentral:rRNA from 1 species